UUUCAGACGAUGGUCUAUGGAUCGUACGGAUGGAUAAUGAGCGGCAGAGUUUAACGAUAAUGAGCAGCAGACUCAGUGAGAUUCAGAGAUGAUAUAUGAGGAUGACGAUCGGAGAACAAAGGAGUCUUAGACCAGCACAGUCGAUAGGGUUGUUCCAGUACGCAGGGGCCAGUAGGCCGGUUUCGACCGGCUAAGCCAUGUUUUAAUAUGCUUGCUAGACGUAGUAAUCCAGUUCAACCAGCCACGAAUACAUUUUGCAGUUUUGUUGAUAAGAUUCCUCCUAAACUAGAUGACAAUUCCAAAGACCAUCAUGCGUGUUGGGUUCGUUCUAGAGGUAAAUUCCUUUUCUAUUAGUCUCAGCAUGUUAGAUCUAAGAAUAAUAAAAAAGGUAGUUGAACAUCGUAGUUCCUUAUUCUCAAUUAAUAUCCAUUGUACAAAAUUACGUUGUCGUUUUCCGGGUCACAUAUCCACGAGGAUUCCUGCUAAUACCGUAUUGUUACUUGCUAUUGUCAAUACCAGCUUGAUCGGGCCAAGAAUAUUUGAUUCUACUUCGUCAGCCGAGGUAAUUAGUUCAGUUACGACGUCUGCAUAAAGUAGUAGAUAUAUUCCAUUUUAAUUGAUUAAUUGUUGUGUUAUAGAGUAAGACUUGACAAUUCCUUUUAUAUUAAUAUUUACAUGUGCAAGUUUAAAGUAGUUUCCAGUUGGCUAUGUUAUAAAUUGUUUUAACACCAGACUUCCUCCACAAUUCGUGACGGCCAAAUUGUUAAAGAUCGAGACGCCGUGAUACUCCAUUCCAGUUCCACCUACACCAUUGCUUAGAAAUAAACUUUGAAAGGUGAUUGCACCAUCAUAGAUUUGUACACCAAGAUAUUUCCCUUAAAUAGGUUAUGAGAAGAUGUUCUCCCGUGUUAAUUAAUUAGUAUAGUACAAAAAGCUUACUUCCAUUGUUAUAUAAUCAUUUUUUAAUAAGAAGGUUUUUUGUUCAUUAAUUACACUACUAUUAUAGUAGAUCUAUAUUCUUGCUUA